rnacentral:rRNA from 1 species
CGGCAGGCCUAACACAUGCAAGUCGAACGGUAACAGGAAGCAGCUUGCUGCUUUGCUGACGAGUGGCGGACGGGUGAGUAAUGUCUGGGAAACUGCCCGAUGGAGGGGGAUAACUACUGGAAACGGUAGCUAAUACCGCAUAACGUCGCAAGACCAAAGAGGGGGACCUUCGGGCCUCUUGCCAUCGGAUGUGCCCAGAUGGGAUUAGCUAGUAGGUGGGGUAACGGCUCACCUAGGCGACGAUCCCUAGCUGGUCUGAGAGGAUGACCAGCCACACUGGAACUGAGACACGGUCCAGACUCCUACGGGAGGCAGCAGUGGGGAAUAUUGCACAAUGGGCGCAAGCCUGAUACAGCCAUGCCGCGUGUAUGAAGAAGGCCUUCGGGUUGUAAAGUACUUUCAGCGGGGAGGAAGGGAGUAAAGUUAAUACCUUUGCUCAUUGACGUUACCCGCAGAAGAAGCACCGGCUAACUCCGUGCCAGCAGCCGCGGUAAUACGGAGGGUGCAAGCGUUAAUCGGAAUUACUGGGCGUAAAGCGCACGCAGGCGGUUUGUUAAGUCAGAUGUGAAAUCCCCGGGCUCAACCUGGGAACUGCAUCUGAUACUGGCAAGCUUGAGUCUCGUAGAGGGGGGUAGAAUUCCAGGUGUAGCGGUGAAAUGCGUAGAGAUCUGGAGGAAUACCGGUGGCGAAGGCGGCCCCCUGGACGAAGACUGACGCUCAGGUGCGAAAGCGUGGGGAGCAAACAGGAUUAGAUACCCUGGUAGUCCACGCCGUAAACGAUGUCGACUUGGAGGUUGUGCCCUUGAGGCGUGGCUUCCGGAGCUAACGCGUUAAGUCGACCGCCUGGGGAGUACGGCCGCAAGGUUAAAACUCAAAUGAAUUGACGGGGGCCCGCACAAGCGGUGGAGCAUGUGGUUUAAUUCGAUGCAACGCGAAGAACCUUACCUGGUCUUGACAUCCACGGAAGUUUUCAGAGAUGAGAAUGUGCCUUCGGGAACCGUGAGACAGGUGCUGCAUGGCUGUCGUCAGCUCGUGUUGUGAAAUGUUGGGUUAAGUCCCGCAACGAGCGCAACCCUUAUCCUUUGUUGCCAGCGGUCCGGCCGGGAACUCAAAGGAGACUGCCAGUGAUAAACUGGAGGAAGGUGAGGAUGACGUCAAGUCAUCAUGGCCCUUACGACCAGGGCUACACACGUGCUACAAUGGCGCAUACAAAGAGAAGCGACCUCGCGAGAGCAAGCGGACCUCAUAAAGUGCGUCGUAGUCCGGAUUGGAGUCUGCAACUCGACUCCAUGAAGUCGGAAUCGCUAGUAAUCGUGGAUCAGAAUGCCACGGUGAAUACGUUCCCGGGCCUUGUACACACCGCCCGUCACACCAUGGGAGUGGGUUGCAAAAGAAGUAGGUAGCUUAACCUUCGGGAGGGCGCUUACCACUUUGUGAUUCAUGACUGGG